rnacentral:misc_RNA from 1 species
AGUCGUAACAAGGUCUCCGUUGGUGAACCAGCGGAGGGAUCAUUACCGAGUUAUCGCUCCAAACCCACUGUGAACCUUACCUUCUGUUCUGUUGCCUCGGCGGGGGGACCUGCGGGAACCGCCCUAGCGGGCGCCCCUGGCCACCCUCUGCCGGCAGCACCAAACUCUGGAAUUUAUAGCGGACAAACCUUUCUGAAUGACUGAAGAUAACAAGUCAAAACUUUCAACAACGGAUCUCUUGGUUCUGGCAUCGAUGAAGAACGCAGCGAAAUGCGAUAAGUAAUGUGAAUUGCAGAAUUCAGUGAAUCAUCGAAUCUUUGAACGCACAUUGCGCCCGGCAGUAAUCUGCCGGGCAUGCCUGUCCGAGCGUCAUUUCAACCCUCGGGCCUGGUUCUCCAGGCCCGGCGUUGGGGCACUACGGGGUCAUUCUACAUGCCCCGUAGGCCCUGAAAUACAGUGGCGGUCCCGCCGCGGCGCCCCCUGCGUAGUAGUGUCUUUACAGAGCUCGCAUCGGGUCCCGGCGGAGGCCAGCCAGUCGAACCCCACUAUCACAAGAUGGUUUGACCUCGGAUCAGGUAGGGUUACCCGCUGAACUUAAGCAUAUCAAUAAGCGGAGGA